rnacentral:rRNA from 1 species
UACGUAGGGUGCGAGCGUUGUCCGGAAUUAUUGGGCGUAAAGAGCUCGUAGGCGGUUUGUCGCGUCGACUGUGAAAACCUACAGCUUAACUGUGGGCUUGCAGUCGAUACGGGCAGACUUGAGUUCGGUAGGGGAGACUGGAAUUCCUGGUGUAGCGGUGAAAUGCGUAGAUAUCUGGAGGAACACCGGUGGCGAAGGCGGCAUCCUGGACCGGCAUUGACGCUGAGUGAGCGAAAGCCAGGGGAGCAAACGGG